rnacentral:rRNA from 1 species
UACGGAGGGUGCAAACGUUGCUCGGAAUUAUUGGGCGUAAAGCGCGUGUAGGCGGCUAAUUAAGUCGAGUGUGAAAGCCCUGAGCUUAACUCAGGAAGUGCGCUCGAUACUGAUAAGCUUGAGUACGGGAGAGGGUAGUGGAAUUCCCGGUGUAGAGGUGAAAUUCGUAGAUAUCGGGAGGAACACCAGUGGCGAAGGCGGCUACCUGGACCGAUACUGACGCUGAGACGCGAAAGCGUGGGGAG